rnacentral:rRNA from 1 species
GAUGAACGCUGGCGGCGUGCCUAAUACAUGCAAGUCGAGCGAACAGACGAGGAGCUUGCUCCUCUGACGUUAGCGGCGGACGGGUGAGUAACACGUGGAUAACCUACCUAUAAGACUGGGAUAACUUCGGGAAACCGGAGCUAAUACCGGAUAAUAUAUUGAACCGCAUGGUUCAAUAGUGAAAGACGGUUUUGCUGUACCUUAUAGAUGGAUCCGCGCCGCAUUAGCUAGUUGGUAAGGUAACGGCUUACCAAGGCGACGAUGCGUAGCCGACCUGAGAGGGUGAUCGGCCACACUGGAACUGAGACACGGUCCAGACUCCUACGGGAGGCAGCAGUAGGGAAUCUUCCGCAAUGGGCGAAAGCCUGACGGAGCAACGCCGCGUGAGUGAUGAAGGUCUUCGGAUCGUAAAACUCUGUUAUUAGGGAAGAACAAAUGUGUAAGUAACUAUGCACGUCUUGACGGUACCUAAUCAGAAAGCCACGGCUAACUACGUG